UUUUAUAUCAAUCUUUUUUUUGGUUAAUAGGUACUUGAGAAUUUCAUUUAUUGGUCCUUUAAUCAUCAUUUUUUCUUUUUCACACAAUUUUUUUAAGAAGUCAAUUUUUAAUUCUUAUUUUUAUUUUUAUUUUUAUUUCUUUUGAAAAAUCUCUCUAGUACCCCAACCCCGGACUUAAACGUUGCUAAUUUCCAAGAGCAACCCCAAACUUAUUCUUUUGCAUUAGACGAGGAAAACAAUUUUUUCUACAUAACUCCGAAAAGGGUGGAAAUUAUUAAUCUUUCAAAUCAAACGACUAUAUUAUAGACUAUGUCACUAAAAG
rnacentral:lncRNA from 1 species